UCCACCAGAUCCGUGUCUCCACCGGUCAAUUUAUCUGAUCUAUCAGUGUUCACCUAUUUGGCCAAACAAGGGUACUUAAAUCAAUGUGACUUUGUCAAGACUAUUAAAAAACUUUCAAAACUUCGCUUAAGACUCAUCAAUUACUAUGAGACCUUGUUCGUGACUCGGGAAUAGUGUGAAAUUCUCAGGAACGUCAGUAAAGUUUACCAGGUUCAACCAUAAUAUUAAAAUAAUAGUUUCUUAUCUCCAAAAAUUAAAAAAGCAACGAA